GCCGCACCAAGUGACCAGUGUGGACAUCGUUUUGGGUGGCCGUCGUAGUUGAGGGACGGACGGGUGGGGGUGAAAGAGGACGGACAUGACGAGAGAGAUGGAGAGUGGCAGAGAGAGAAAGAAAGAGGGAGAGCGCGUCAUCUCUCUCUCUCUCCCUCUCUCUCUCUCUCACUCUGUCUUUCACUGCAGUAGCUGCUGCAGCG
ensembl:ncRNA F52H2.13 ncRNA